CCCCCCCCCCCCCCCCCCCCCCUUUCACGGCCGGCACCGCACGGCGCGCGCGGGUCUCUGCACCGGGGCCAGGAGGGCGUCGGGAUUUGGGACACCCGAGGGACAGCAGCAGGCUGGGCUUAGUUUCCCUGGGUGCGUGGGCAGAGCUGCGCUUUCCGUGCAUUUCCAGAGGAAUAUGCAAACUGGACAGAGCGCUCUGGAAAAGUUAAUUGCGCGUUGAACUUGCUCAGCAAACCCUGCCUGAGCAACGGCAAAGGGCACUGGGGCACGUGGAGAAAGCGAUGGGGUCACUUUGCCUUCCCAGUCCCGAAUUCCUCGGGCUGUAAAACGCCCUGAGGGAUUUCCUGCCCUGAGGGAUUUCCUGCCCUGAGGGAUU
rnacentral:lncRNA from 12 species